GAGCAAGGGAAAAAGUGGUAGCAACGUGGAUUGACUAUAGUUGGGUUCGGACUAAGAGGUGAUAUAAAGGCAUACGUCGCAUCCACUUGGUUUAACUUACCUGGAAGAUCGAAGAUCGAACACAACAAGAAAGCUCUCCGAGCCUAAUUGGCUAAAACUUUACAACGCCACGCCACUUCUCCAACAUCAUGUUGGUGAGGUCGGUGUUAGUACUGACAACUGUUGUAUUGGCCAAGGUAAGGAGAGUAUGGUUCUUCGACGUAACAUCAUAAAUUGGCAACAAUCAAUUGCAUUGGUAGCAUUUACAAUCCGAAAAAACAAUGGUGACUACUUGGUCGAUUAUGACGAAAUAUUGGUAAAUACAAAGGAAACAAUUAAGGAAUCUUCAUCACCCACUGUCCUGGUUUAUAUCAAUUGUCUUUCACCGGAUGCGAUAGCAUGGAUCUUCGAUUUACCUUAAAACUAAUACUUGGCAUAGAUCAAGUUGAUGAUUGAAAACCGAUUGUUAGUAUUGGUCCAAAUUGUGAAUGGCAAUAUAAUUUUAUUGUCUAUUAAUGUUUGAGAUCCAGCGGCGAUCUUCAUAGAAUUUGGAAAUAUCACGGAUAAUUUUCCGAAUAUCAACAGAAAGUGAUGAUCGGAUUUUCUUCACGAUCGAGACAUCUUCCAGAGAGGUUCCUCGCUGAGUGCAAUCAACGAAUCAAAUUCAAUUGGUUUUCAAAAUUCCUAAAACAUUUCUUUGAUAACGCAAUUUUAAUACAAAUUUAAUAACAUAGUACUGAUUUGAUUGAUGUUUGAUGAUUUUGAUUUUUCAUGAUGAUUGAUUUCAUUGAAUGUUUCAAAUAUUUAAAAAAAAAAAUGAAAUUGAUUCGUUGACUGGUCACUCGGUUUCAUUAAGAAAUAUAAAAUCGGCAAAUCCUUCUUUCUUGCUUUACUAUCAUUGGUUUGAACGAUGCGAACUGCUCCUAAAAAAUUAUUUCAUCGUUAUCGAGGUUUUAUACUCAUGAGAGUAGCUGAACCUUCUCGACAAACCUAACGUUCUGUGAUAGCCUUUUCUCGCUUGUCUAUCGAUUCUCAGGUACCUCGCAAUCCUUUCGGUUCUUUUUUCCUUUAUCGCAAUCAAAUAUGGAAUCGAUGAAAUUAUUUGACCCUUCAAAAUAAUCAUCGACGAUGAUCUAUGAAUCUUCGUUAAAAAAUCCUUAGCGCUCUUACUAUACCUCGGGUCAAAUUUUGUCAAUUAAAAAAUUUUUUUUUUUCUAAUCUUGCUGCUUUAUCCUUUUUCACGCAAAACUUCAAACUUUCUGUCUUACGUGCAAUCUCUCAACUUUUUUUUCGUUUUCUUUCUUCUAUGUAUAUCUAUUUUACUUCCUAUAAGAGUUUUCACUUUUAUUUCUUUCACUUUAUCUUUCGUUGCCAUCAACAUAUCAGUAUUAUCAAACUCAAGAUUUGUUGCUUGAUCUUGCCAACAUGAAUUUCAUUUCAAUAUACUACUUUCUACUAUUUUCUAUUUACAUUUUCAUUCUUUAAUUUUCUCCUUUCUUUCAGUUUUAUUUUUGUAGAAUUUUCUUUAAAGAUCUCUAAAACGCAUUUCUUCUUUAAAUCUAUAUAUUAAUUCUUUCAUUGUACGAACUUUUAUUUCUUACUACUGUACCUGAACUACCGUUUCAAAGAUACGCUAUUUUUCUAAUUACUUUUUAAUUUUUCUCUUCACUAAUUCUCUCAUCACAUCAUUUCUUAAUCUCGUUUCUUUACUAUCUUACUUACUCUUUACUUUCUACAAAUUAUUUUUUUUCGAAUUAUUUAAUUCUCCUACUACAUAUAUUAUAAAAAAAGCUUUUAUGGAUUAGCUUAUUUCCUCUGUUUCUCUGUUCUGUUUGUAUAUUUCUUCCUCAACUUUUUUAAAAUUUUCUUAAAAUAAUUUCUUUUGUAUAGUUUGUGAAAUAGUAUCUCUAUUUAUAAAUUAUUAAUUUUCUUAUCUUUUCUUUUUCUAUCUCCUUAAUUAAUUAUAAUUUCUAAAUAUCUUUUAAACUAUUCUAUAUUCUUCUUUCAUCUUCAUUUUUUUUUUUUCAUUAUACCCAAAAGUUUGUAAAUAUUUCUAUGACAUCUUUGUGCCUGUCAACUCAUUUUGUACAAAAUUCUCUCUCUUCCUAAAUCUACUUUUAUUUCGUUCUAUAUCUCUUCUUUAAUCCAUUUCUAUCAUAUUACUUGCGUUUUUUCUAUUUCUAUAUUCUAAUCUAUUCUAUUUGUAUAUCUCUAAAUCGACAUUUUCUCAUUUCUUUUUUUUUCUUUCUUUUAUAUUCUAUUUUUUUUCUCUAUUUUUCUUUUCAUUAAUUCUUUUCUUAUUUUUUUCACACAUUCUGUACUUUUCUUUUAUGUUUCUGUCUUUUCAUCUUUUCUUUUUAUGUUUCUGUCUUUUCAUCUUCUCUUUUAUGUUUCUGUCUUUCCAUCUUCUUUUUUAUGUUUCUGUCUUUCCAUCUUCUUUUUUAUGUUUCUGUCUUUCCAUUUUCUCUUUUAUGUUUCUGCCUUUUCAUCUCUUUUUUUCUUGUUAAUCUUUUCUAAUCUAUCUACAAGAGUGCAACAUCAUUUCUAGUCUAUUGCUAUAUCUAUAUUUCAAUACUUUGUUUCUUUCUAUUAAGCAAUAUAAAACUGAACACUGUGAUCAUUACUUCUUUUUCUUUAACGCUCAAUUUCUUUUCCUUUCGUACAACAAUUUUUACUUGUCUCUAUUUUCAUUUUUCUUUUCCUCUCUCUUUCUCUCUCAUUUUACCUAUCUUUCUUUUAUAUCUUUCUACUCUACUGAAAUUUAACGAUUGAUAAUUGUAUGAAACUUAACUGUGUGUUUUAUCACGCACAUUUGUAUAUUCUAUAUUCUAAUACUUCUUUAAAAAUAAACCAAAAAAAAAGUAAAAAUAAAAAGAAAAAAAUGUAAAAAUGAACAUAGAAGAAAGUCGAUCAUCUUCGUCUUUUAAUUGAUAAAUCAUUUACUAUUACUGUAUCCUUUCUCUUUCUAGUCUACUUUUCCCACCUAUUAAUACUCACUCUGUACAAAAUCUAGAGAAAACAUGGGUUUCCUAUGCACUGUGAUUAUGAUAUAUGUUCUAUCAUUUAUGCCACUUCGUUCUUUGUAUCAUCUUCCGUCAUAGCUUACCUAUUGUACUAUAGCAUAUCAUUGUCAUUAUAUAUGUAUCUGUCAUCUCUCUUUGAUUUUACGACAGCGAAUCUGUAUACAAAGAUUAUGCAUAACUUAUUCAAUAUCUGCGAAACAAAUUUAUUAUAAAUAUUUUUUUUCUUUUCUUAAAUAAAAUGUUCGGUCUUUUUCAAUAUUUCUUCACUUUUUCACUAUCUAUUACUUUCCUGUAUUCACUUUCUACUGCGUCUCAUUUUUUCGAAAAAACAUCGCUUUUCUGUCUUUUUACUUCUUUUAAAACUUGUAAAUAUUCAAUUUAUAAACUCUGUAAAAGUUUUCGUCUUUCCCUUUCUCUUCGUCGCUUUAUUUGUCUUUGCUAUCACGACUGUUAAGUUGACGAGAAGAUUGUCAAGUAAAAAAAAAAAAAAAAACAAAUAAUUAACAUAAACAAAUCUGAAUUUGUAAGUGUAAAGUUAAAAAGUGAUUUUUUCGAAUUUAAAUUUUAAUGCCUAUGCCUGGCUGUGAAUCAUACGCCCUUUCCUUUCUUUCCUAACAUGUUUUAUAAAUUUUAAAUCUCGAUGAAUACGAACAAAAAUCUUAUCAAAUAUUAUUUCUUCUUGUAUAAACUAUAUUUUAUUCUUUCUGCAGAAAACAAUAGAAACAUGAAAAAACAAA